AACGAGACACAGAUGAUAAAAAAAGUACUGAGCACUGUGAAUGUUAGAGACUCAUGUUUUAUUUAUAACAAUCAUUGUAUUUCAGGGCAGUUUGUGAAAAAAAGAAAAGAAAAACACGUUACGACCUUUUCACAACGUGAAAAGAAAGUUGUUGUGCGUGCUGGGUAAUUACGUCUUUAGCGAGCCUGGGAGGUGAAUGGUGCUUCUCAAACAGAAAGCUGCAUCCUAAUGUGACUAUAUAUGUUUGGCUUGCUUCAGGUAAAAUUAUUGAGCCUAUCACAGCUAAAGGCGGAGCAUAUAUACCUGCUUUGUAAUGAAUCACGUCAUGGAGCUUCUUUCUUGUUUUCCGGUUCCGCAUGCUGAGUGGCAUGCGGGAAAUUUGUCUGUUUGGUCCCUCGUAUGGCAUGUAGGAGAUCGAGUGCUGUUUCCCACGGCUGACGUUCUUGUGUAGAGACUCCACAGUGUGCGCAUUGAUUUCGCACUUUGGACUGCCGUGACUGGAUUCCGUUGCUGGGGUUACCUGUCAUUCGCCCGUUGAUCACGGAGCGCUGCUGUUUUGCUGCUGUCUUAACUAGAUAUUAAAACGAAAGGAUUUGCGUCAAUUUCAUU